rnacentral:rRNA from 1 species
AACGAUAUUAUGAAUUUUAAACAACUCGAUCAUGAGCAUGUUGCCCAAUCUUGGGAAAGAAUGAAAUUGAUGAUUCGCAAUUGCCCUACUCAUGGUUUGAAUUUAUGGAUGCUCAUACAAAUUUUUUAUGCCGGAUUGAAUUUUGCUUCUAGAAAUCUUUUAGAUUCGGCCGCGGGAGGCACAUUUAUGGAAAUCACCUUAGGAGAAGCUACAAAACUCCUUGAUAAUACCAUGGCUAAUUAUUCUCAAUGGCACACCGAACGAUCUACUAGUAAAAAAUGUGCAUGUUAUAGAAGAAAUUAA